GCUACUUCUCUGCAUUUUGGCUAAGAUCAAAUGUAACACCUGUUCUUAUCAGUUUAUCAUUGGAAACGUCCCCUACCUGGUGAUCAUAUAUUAAACCGAUUUUUUUUUUAAACAUUACGAGAAUAAAUUCAUGAUAUUACCAGAACAAUGCCGAAAUAUGAGAGUAA
rnacentral:snRNA from 1 species